rnacentral:rRNA from 1 species
UACAGAGGUCCCGAGCGUUGUUCGGAUUCAUUGGGCGUAAAGGGUGCGCAGGUGGCGGGGUAAGUCUGAUGUGAAAUCCCGGGGCUCAACUCCGGAACUGCAUUGGAUACUGCUUCGCUUGAGUACUGGAGAGGAGACUGGAAUUUACGGUGUAGCAGUGAAAUGCGUAGAGAUCGUAAGGAAGACCAGUGGCGAAGGCGGCCAUCUGGGACAACACUGACGCUGGAGGCAACGAAAGCGUGGGGAGCAAACAGG